rnacentral:rRNA from 1 species
GCUAAGAAUAUUCCGCAAUGGACGAAAGUCUGACGGAGCGACGCCGCGUGGAUGACGAAGGCCGAAAGGUUGUAAAGUCCUUUUGUUGGGGAAGAAUAACCAUGGGAGGGAAUGCCCGUGGGAUGACAUGAACCGACGAAUAAGCCCCGGCUAACUACGUGCCAGCAGCCGCGGUAACACGUAGGGGGCGAGCGUUGUUCGGAAUUACUGGGCGUAAAGGGCAUGUAGGCGGCUCUGUAAGUCCGGCGUGGAAGCCCACGGCUCAACCGUGGGAUUGCGCUGGAAACUGCGGGGCUUGAAUCCUGGAGAGGGAGCUAGAAUUCCUGGUGUAGGGGUGAAAUCUGUAGAGAUCAGGAAGAAUACCAGUGGCGAAGGCGAGCUCCUGGCCAAGGAUUGACGCUGAGGUGCGAAAGUGUGGGGAUCAAACAGGAUUAGAUACCCCUGUAGUCC